UAUACACAAAGCCAAAAAAAAUACUCCAUCACUAACAAACCGGUAGAAAUAAACAACCAUUUCACUAUUCCACAAUAUUUACCCGAAAAGGCAGAAAAUUAACUGCGCUGUAUAUUAUUUUUAUCGAGAGGAAAACACAAAGACUUCCGCAGUGAAAAACGGAAAGAGCUGAAAUUUCACCCGCGCCACAGAAUCUCCUGUUCUUAUUUAGGGGUACAGAAUCUUCAUCAGUAUCUCAAUAAAGAAGAAUAAAAUCGCCGCCGAAGAUGACCGGACCCGGCCUCUUCUCCGACUUCGGUAACAAAGCUAAAGAAAUUUUGUUGAAGGACUACAGCGAUGAUCAGAAGCUGAUUAUAUCUAGCCAGAGUGAUACCGGAUUGGUAAGCUACGGUAGACGAAUCGUCUGUAAUCGAGUGCUCUGUUUUCGGUGAUGUAGUUUUUAGUAAUUGUGAAAUUUGAGUUCUGAGUUCUAGAGCUCCCUUCUCUGAAUAGAUUUAUUUUAAUUGUUUUUCUGAUUAUGAUUAUCAUUUACUGAAAUAUUCUACGUUUGUUACUCAUAAUGGUAUGUAUGCGUGAUAAUUUCGGGCCGAAUUCCACGAAACGACCUCAUGGGAGGUAGUAUCCGCCAUUUGUACCCGCCAAAAAAAAGUUUCCAGAGAGGGGAAAGACGCGAGAGGUUCUCGCGUGUAUCAAAUGAAACACGCGUUUCGUUCAUGCGUGUUUUAACUAAACACGCGAGAGGAAUUAGCGUGUUUUAAAUUAUACACGCGAGAGGCAUUAGCGUGUAUCACUUGAUACACGCGAGAGCAAUUCGCGUGUUUCACUUGAUACACGCGAGAGCAAUUCGCGUGUUUCACUUGAAUAACGCGAGAGCAAUUACGAGGCAGAAGCCCCUCUUCCUCACUCCCAGCAUUCUGCCUCUUCCUCACUCCCAGGCGCGACCUCUCUCUGCACCACCAUAAGCUGCGAAAUCCUCAUCUACCCGACGAAAAUCGAAGUGAAUCCGACAUAUAGCUGCUCCCAUUCAUCUUUUAACUCUCAUUAGGUUUGAUGGUGUUUGUGAGUUUAUAUUGGGAUGGCAAAAUUACUCAGCUCCCAGGUUUGGGUGUUGCUUAUGAGCCCCCUCGUGCAAACUCAUUUAUUAUAUUGAGUGAAAAUAUAUCUUAUUAUCAGCUAGUUUCAAUGAUAUGUGAAAAAAUUGGAAUUGAUUUAGAGGCACAUACGAUUGAUUUAACAUGGAGGCAUCCUGUAGUUUUUAGUGGAGUGGUGAAUUAUAUAGCUACACCAGUGAAUGAAAAUUUGUUGGAGUAUAUGUUUGCCGAAAAUCCACGACAAAUUGAACUUUUUAUUGAAUAUACUCCUGUGACUACUGCGUUGCAAUUUGAACCACCUAUCAAUCAGCAUGAUGUUGGAACGUCUAGGAGAGAUGAUUAUCAUAGUUUUGAUGUCGGGACAUCUAGGAGGGAUGAUGAAUAUCAUAACACUGAAUUCAACACAUUUGGGAGGGAGGUUGAUGAACAACUAGAUGUACCAAAUGUGCCAUGUGAUGUUUAUGAUGGUGCAGAUGGUUUAGAUAAUUGUGAUGGUUCAGAUGGUUCAGAUAUUUGUGCUGGUUUAGAUGGUUCUGAGAACUGUGCUGGUAUAGAUGGUUCUGAUUGUGAUGGUUCCGAUGGUUCUAGUCAAAGUGAUCGUGAGUAUAGUGCAGAAUCAUGUGAAGAUUCUACAGACGACGAGACACUUCAAAUGAUGGGGGAGAAAUGUGUACAACCAGCUGUUCGUGGGGAGCAACCUGUUCCCGACUAUGUGACUGAAGGGUUACCAUUUUUUCGAUCAUUACCAUGUGAAGGCAGCCGAGGUUACGUUUCAGAAGACCAUGGAGUGGGUGAAGAAGAUAUGUGGUAUUGGGAUGAGGAUAAUCCGAGACAUAUAGAUGUGGGAACGAAAUUUGAUAGCAAAUUGCAGUUGAAAACUGCUGUGACAUUAUGGCAUGUAGGAACAGGUCGUAUGUAUGAGGUUAUGGAUAGUAAAUCAAGAAGAUGGCAUGCAGUUUGUAGGGACCCAUUUGGUCCGAAGAGAAAAGGCGAGGACCUUGGGCAACGAUAUCCAUGUAAUUGGGAGGUUAAAGCAACGUUUAAGAAACGUGAUGGUAGCUGGUCUAUCAACUCAUGGGUUGAUCGUCAUUGUUGUAUGGGAGAUCACGAUCCAAGUGAACAUGUUAAUCUCACAUCAUCCAUGAUUGCUCUCUGUAUUCGAAGUCAAAUUGAAAAUGAUGUUGAAUUCAAGCCUUCUGCGGUACGAACAUAUAUCAAAGAUAAAUUUCACGUGAAAAUCAGCUACAAGAAAGCAUGGUAUGCUCGCAGAAAAGCUAUUGAGCUUGUAUAUGGAGGGUGGGAGGGAUCAUUCAGACAACUCCCCAGCUACCUGUUUGAGUUGCAAAGUCAAAAUCCGGGGACAAUCGUUGAGUGGUUGCAUGACCCUAUAUUGAGUCAAGGUACUAAGAAGGUGUUCCGGUACGUAUUUUGGGCAUUUGGGCCAGCAAUAGAGGCGUUCCAACUAGCAAAGCCGGUCUUAUCAGUUGAUGGGACUCACCUGCGUGGAAGACUGAAAGGUAAAAUACUUACUGCAGUAGGGUACGAUGCAAAUAAGAACUGUUUGCCUGUUGCUUUUGCUAUUGUUGAUGAAGAAACAAAUGAGAGUUGGAGUUGGUUUUUGAAUCUUGUCCGAGUGCAUAUUAUAAAGCAUGACCAGGACGUGUGCAUAAUAUCAGACAGACAUCAAGGCAUAAUAAAUGCUAUGUAGGAUGAUGUGUGGAAAGAGGUACCCGUUGGUUAUCAUCGAUACUGUCUAGUUCACGUUCGAUCGAAUGUGUUACAAAGACACAAAGGCCCCGGAGUGAAGAAAUGGGUAUGGAUAAUGGGCGAAGUAACUGAGGAGCGGAGAUAUUGGACUGCAAGGCGUGAAUUAGAAAAGGUGAGUCCAGAAGCUCUGAUGUACCUCGAAACCACCAUAGAUAGAUCGCAGUGGACUCUGUCACACGAUGAAUUUCGUCGAUGGGGUGAGACGUCGACUAACAUGGCCGAGUGUUAUAACAAUGUGUUGUUGUCUACAAGGGAACUCCCAAUUAGAGCUAUCAUUGAUAUUACAUUCUGGCGGACCAUCAACUGGUUUGUAACUCGAACGACUCUAGCCAAACAAUGUCAGACGCCUUUGACACCGUGGGCUUGGGAGUUAUUUCAGAAGAAUGACCUUCGAGGGUCACGUCAUCAUGUUAGGACUACAAGCAUAGCACAAGGAACUUAUGAGGUGCUAACCUAUCACAGAGGUCCGGGUAGAGGCCAUAAUAUACAUGUUGUGGAUUAUCGUAAAAAAAGAUGCUCAUGUGGAAAGUGGCAGACCUGGAGAAUGCCUUGCUCUCACGCUGUUGCAGUUCUCAGAGAACGCAGUGAUGACAUCUUUAGUCAUGUUGAUUCCCGAUACCAUACAGAUGUCUGGAUUCACCAGUACGCAGCUCCAUUCCGUCCAUUGAGACACCAAGAUUAUUGGUAUGAACCUGAAUGGACGUUGGAAUGUUCACCAGCACGGCUACUUCCUCGUUCACGUGGGCGAUACAACAGAAGCAGGAUACACAACCAAAUGGAUGAGCGCGAAGAAGAUGCGCCAAGAGCUCCUCCUCGAUGCCGCCUUUGUGGAGAGACCGGCCACAAUAGAAGAAAGUGCACUGUAGGACGUGUUGUGUAGUCAAAUAAUAUUUGAGAAUCGUGAUUGUUAUGUGUUUGAACCAUGUUUAAGACUGAAAUGACAUUUGACAUACUUGGAUUUUACUUGGA